GCUUCAACAGGCCCCUCCCGCCUGCUCCAGGCUCCAGCUCCGGGUCAAAGCGAGUAAGCUCCCGGAAACAGGAGCUCAGCCGCCCCAGCGCAGGGAGGGGCGGGGACUGUGGUGGACACGACCCAUGACCUCACCUCUUCUGGCUCCAGGCAGCAGCCCUGCCCACCUCUGGAGAAUUCCAUGACUCAGGACAUGGACAGGAGCACCAGGUGGGGGACGACCAUGUGAGGAUAGCGGGAGAGCCACCAUCUGCAAGCCAAGGAGAGAGGCCUCAGGAGAAACCCUUCCUGGGAACACCUUGAUCUUGGACUUCCAGCUUCCAGAACUACGAGAAACGUAAACGUCUGUGGUUUAAA